GGUUAAUGAUGCUUCAAAUGUCUGACCUGAAAAAAAAAAAUGUGGAAAUAUCUGAACUGAAGAA